CCUACGGGUGGCAGCAGUCGAGAAUCAUUCACAAUGGGGGAAACCCUGAUGGUGCGACGCCGCGUGGGGGAAUGAAGGUCUUCGGAUUGUAAACCCCUGUCAUGUGGGAGCAAAUUAAAAAGAUAGUACCACAAGAGGAAGAGACGGCUAACUCUGUGCCAGCAGCCGCGGUAAUACAGAGGUCUCAAGCGUUGUUCGGAAUCACUGGGCGUAAAGCGUGCGUAGGCUGUUUCGUAAGUCGUGUGUGAAAGGUGCGGGCUCAACCCGCGGACGGCACAUGAUACUGCGAGACUAGAGUAAUGGAGGGGGAACCGGAAGUCUCGGUGUAGCAGUGAAAUGCGUAGAUAUCGAGAGGAACACUCGUGGCGAAGGCGGGUGCCUGGACAUUAACUGACGCUGAGGCACGAAGGCCAGGGGAGCGAAAGGGAUUAGAUACCCCUGUAGUC
rnacentral:rRNA from 1 species